CGGCCUUGACAUACUAAGAACUUUCCAGAGAUGGAUUGGUGCCUUCGGGAACUUAGAUACAGGUGCUGCAUGGCUGUCGUCAGCUCGUGUCGUGAGAUGUUGGGUUAAGUCCCGNAACGAGCGCAACCCUUUUCCUUAUUUGCCAGCGGGUCAUGCCGGGAACUUUAAGGAUACUGCCAGUGACAAACUGGAGGGAGGCGGGGACGACGUCAAGUCAUCAUGGCCCUUACGGCCAGGGCUACACGCGUGCUACAAUGGUCGGUACAAAGGGUUGCUACCUCGCGAGAGGAUGCUAAUCUCAAAAAGCCGAUCGUAGUCCGGAUCGCAGUCUGCAACUCGACUGCGUGAAGUCGGAAUCGCUAGUAAUCGCGGAUCAGAAUGCCGCGGUGAAUACGUUCCCGGGCCUUGUACACACCGCCCGUCACACCAUGGGAGUUUGUUGCACCAGAAGUAGGUAGUCUAACCGCAAGGAGGACGCUUACCACGGUGUGGCCGAUGACUGGGGUGAAGUCGUAACAAGGUAAGCGUAGAUGA
rnacentral:rRNA from 1 species